GACGAACGCUGGCGGCGUGCUUAACACAUGCAAGUCGAACGGAAAGGCCCUGCUUUUGUGGGGUGCUCGAGUGGCGAACGGGUGAGUAACACGUGAGUAACCUGCCCUUGACUUUGGGAUAACUUCAGGAAACUGGGGCUAAUACCGGAUAGGAGCUCCUGCUGCAUUGUGGGGGUUGGAAAGUUUCGGCGGUUGGGGAUGGACUCGCGGCUUAUCAGCUUGUUGGUGGGGUAGUGGCUUACCAAGGCUUUGACGGGUAGCCGGCCUGAGAGGGUGACCGGCCACAUUGGGACUGAGAGACGGCCCAGACUCCUACGGGAGGCAGAAGUGGGGAAUAUUGCACAAUGGGCGGAAGCCUGAUGCAGCAACGCCGCGUGCGGGAUGACGGCCUUCGGGUUGUAAACCGCUUUCGCCUGUGACGAAGCGUGAGUGACGGUAAUGGGUAAAGAAGCACCGGCUAACUACGUG
rnacentral:rRNA from 1 species